rnacentral:miRNA from 1 species
UCAUUGUAGAUGGCUUUGGCU